CUUAAAGGAUGGCCUCUUCAGAUCUGGAACAGUUAUGCUCUCAUGUUAAUGAAAAGAUUGGCAAUAUUAAGAAAACCUUGUCAUUAAGAAACUGUGGCCAGGAACCUACCUUGAAGACAGUAUUAAAUAAAAUAGGAGAUGAGAUCAUUGUAGUAAAUGAACUUCUAAAUAAAUUGGAAUUGGAAAUUCAGUAUCAAGAACAAACCAACAAUUCACUCAAGGAACUCUGUGAAUCUCUUGAAGAAGAUUACAAAGACGUAGAACAUCUUAAAGAAAACAUUCCUUCCCAUUUGCCUCAAGUAACAGUAGCCCAGAGCUGUGUUAAGGGAUCAGAUCUUGAUCCUGAAGAACCAUUCAAAGUUGAGGAACCUGAACCCAUAAAGAAGCCUCCCAAAGAACAAAGAAGUAUUAAGGAAAUGCCAUUUAUAGCUUGUGAUGAGUUCAGUGGUGUUCCUUCGUACAUGAAAUCCCGCUUAACCUAUGGUCAAAUUAAUGAUGUUAUUAAAGAAAUCAACAAGGCAGUAAUUAGUAAAUAUAAAAUCCUACAUCAGCCAAAAAAGUCUAUGAAUUAUGUGGCCAGAAAUCUCUAUCACAGAUUUAUUGAUGAAGAAACGAAGGAUACCAAAGGUCGUUAUUUUAUAGUGGAAGCUGACAUAAAGGAGUUCACGACUUUGAAAGUUGACAAGAAGUUUCACGUGUUACUGAAUAUUUUACGACACUGCCGGAGGCUAUCAGAGGUCCGAGGGGGAGGACUUACUCGUUACGUUAUAACCUGAGUCCCUUGUGAACUUUUGAACGGACCAAUAGGGUAUAGAGGCUAUUUCUAUAAUUUUCUUAUAUAUAAUUUUUUUAACUUUUAGUCUUUUUUGUUUCCUUUUUUUUCUUUGAGACGG